rnacentral:rRNA from 1 species
ACUCCUACGGGAGGCAGCAGUGAGGAAUAUUGCGCAAUGGAGGCAACUCUGACGCAGCCAUGCCGCGUGCAGGAAGACGGCCCUACGGGUUGUAAACUGCUUUUAUCCGGGAAGAAUCCCCAGUUCGUGAACUGGGUUGACGGUACCGGAGGAAUAAGCACCGGCUAACUCCGUGCCAGCAGCCGCGGUAAUACGGAGGGUGCAAGCGUUAUCCGGAUUCAUUGGGUUUAAAGGGUGCGUAGGCGGAACGGUAAGUCAGUGGUGAAAUCCUGCAGCUUAACUGUAGAACUGCCAUUGAUACUGUCGUUCUUGAGUGCGCUUGACGUGGGCGGAAUGUGCCGUGUAGCGGUGAAAUGCUUAGAUAUGGCACAGAACACCAAUUGCGAAGGCAGCUCACGAAAGCGAAACUGACGCUGAGGCACGAAAGCGUGGGGAUCGAACAGGAUUAGAUACCCUGGUAGGCGUAGU